CAUACGGCUCAGUAACACGUAGUCAAUCUGCCCUAUGGACGUGGAUAACCUCGGGAAACUGAGAAUAAUCCGCGGUAGAUCAUAAUGCCUGGAACGGUUUAUGGUCCAAAUGAUUCGUCGCCAUAGGAUGGGACUGCGGCCUAUCAGCUUGUUGGUGAGGUAAUGGCCCACCAAGGCUAUUACAGGUACGGGCUCUGAGAGGAGAAGCCCGGAGAUGGGUACUGAGACACGGACCCAGGCCCUAUGGGGCGCAGCAGGCGAGAAACCUUUGCAAUGUGCGCAAGCACGACAAGGUUAAUCCGAGUGUUUCCUGCUAAAGGAAUCUUUUGUUAGUUCUAAAACCACUGAUGAAUAAGGGGUGGGCAAGUUCUGGUGUCAGCCGCCGCGGUAAAACCAGCACCUCAAGUGGUCAGGAGGAUUAUUGGGCCUAAAGCAUCCGUAGCCGGUUCUGUAAGUUUCCGGUUAAAUCCACUAGCUCAACUAAUGGGCUGCCGGAAAUACUGCAGAACUAGGGAGUGGGAGAGGUAGACGGUACUCGGGAGGAAGGGGUAAAAUCCUUUGAUCUCUUGAUGACCACCUGUGGCGAAGGCGGUCUACCANAACACGUUCGACGGUGAGGGAUGAAAGCUGGGGGAGCAAACCGGAUUAGAUACCCGGGUAGUCCCAGCUGUAAACGAUGCAGACUCGGUGAUGCACUGGCUUUUGGCCAGUGCAGUGCCGCAGGGAAGCCGUUAAGUUUGCCGCCUGGGAAGUACGUACGCAAGUAUGAAACUUAAAGGAAUUGGCGGGGGAGCACCACAAGGGGUGAAGCCUGCGGUUCAAUUGGAUUCAACGCCGGGAAGGGCGAAUUCGCGGCCGCUAAAUUCAAU
rnacentral:rRNA from 1 species